rnacentral:lncRNA from 1 species
GAGGGAGGGGGAGAGGGGGAGGGAGGGAGGGAGGGAGGGAGAGAGAGAGAGUCAAGGUUAUAUUUUAAAAAUUAAAAAAAAUUUUUGAGGGGUUCCUUUUUUUUUUUUAAAAUGAAAAACUAACUUGGGAAAUACAUUCUUUGAUGGGGCUAGCCACACAUAUGUUUUACAAUACUUGGUCUGCAAUGCUGUCUUUUGGGUCUGAGUUUCUUCUCAGGAGGGUAUCUUUGGGCCAGCAAUAACAAUCAUUGUUCAGUUAUACAAACUUUAUAAUUUCUGAAGUAAUUUCCUAUACAUCAUUUCACUUAGUCUUUACAAAAACCCUAUAGAGAAAGCAGGGUAAAGUCUGAAAUAAUAAAUAAUAAUCAGUUAAUGGAAAUAGAGUAUCUACAUCCUGGAAAUGAUGGCUAUGUUAUACACUAUGCUAGCUCUAGACAUUCUUGUAUGUGGAUGAAAUUAGCUUCAAUACAACCAUAUGAACAGAUUGGGUCCAGAGGCAGAGGGAGGCACACACAGAUCAUUUGACUUGCGUGCUUCAGAUGAGGAAACACGCAUAGAGGGUUAAGUGGCUUGCAGAAGGGCAACCACUAGGCAGGGGUAGAGGCAGAACUUGAAACUACACACACCCAACAAAUAGUUCCCAUAUGUGCCUGGCCUUGGGGUAGGGAGACAGAUGCAAGACCAGUAGGCCCUUCCUCCAAGGAGCUACCAGUCCUGCAGGAGAAAGACAUCCCUCAUUAUUCAAAUAAUACAUUUUCAAAUUACAAUAGCAAGAAGUGCCCUAGAAAAGAAAAGAGAUCUGGGGUUUCUUCCACUUGUGUCUACAGCCACAAGCCCUGGCCCCAGCUCCCUGCUCUCUCUCCUCUGAUGCAGGAUUAUACUUGCAGUCUCAGACACCCAAGCAAGGGUUAUUCUUGGGAAGGGGCAACCACACGGCUUCUAAUCCUUGGGUCUGUCAGACUCCUCUGCCUGGCUGUGAGUACUGGUGCCAGGAGAGAUUUCAUAAUUAGGCGUGGUCACUGGGGUACAUAUAGAACUAGGCAAGUAGACUAGUAAAUUACAGUGUUUAGUUCUCCAGAAAAACAAAACAAAACAGGGCAAAAUCUGCUGGCCUCGAUCUAGGUUUAUAGUUAAUAUGUUGCCCAAAUUCACAAUAAUUGGGUAAGCUACACAUUUUUGCAAGCCUUGUUUUUACUCUACCAUUUGCUAACAGUGUCCCUCUCUAAAUCAUCUUGCAGGUUGACUAGGUACUCAAACCAAAAGAGAACAUCAGCACCACCUCAGACAGUCUAUUCUGUGCAGAAAAGCCAAGCUUUCAUUUGCCAGCCCAGCCCACGAGGGGUGGAAGCACCAGGUGAAACAGCCCGGAACACUGAAGGUGACUUGUUGGUGUGUGGCUAGAGCCAGGUGCUUAACCCCUCAUGCUGUGACCCUGCGCUGCCAUCCUCCCACCCCAGAAAUCCUGCUCUGCUGUUUUGUGGGGCUCCCAGUGGGCUGAUAAAAGGCAGGGCAUGAGAAACAGGCCUGGGGCACACCCAGCAGUGCUUGCCGCACAAGAGGAACAGGGUGUUUGUAGCCCUCGUUGAGUUUGAGAACUCUAAAAGUUCUCAACUUUGUACAACAGAAAACUAAUGAGGCGCGACAACCCCCACUGCCCCACCUUGCCAACUACAAUGUGAAGGGAACGACCAUUUUCCCGACUGUCAAUAAUGUUCUGAGCCCCGUGGAAGAUGAGCUGCCCACACAGAGCCCUCGAGUGUCCUGUGAGGAAGAUAGGCAGGUGGUGGGUCAUGUGGUUUGUUCAAGGCUGAAGAACCACAUCUGAACUAGAUUCUGUCUGACUCCAGAGCCCAUCCUAUCUAUUGUGUCCCACAAGGGAACACGACAUUCAAAUUCAAGUAACAUUUGCUAAGUGCCAAAGACAUAGUACACAUCAAGCUAAAUGCCUUCUCAUUUGCCCACAAACUCUAAGAUGGUAAUGUUAUUCCUCUUUUCAUGGAUGGACUCCAAGGCUUUGAGAGGUGGGAACUUUGGUAUUUUCUGACAUCCUGAUUUUGUGACAUUCUUCUCCAGUUCCCUUGGAUUUGUAUGAAAACUCAAGUAAUGGUAGUAUCAGAUUCAAACUGGAAAAUCCAAGUACCAGUAAAAGGUUCUCUCUCUUUUUAUUUUUUAAUUUAAAAAAAAAUUUUUUUAGAGACAAAGUCUCACUCUGUUGCUCAGGCUAGAGUACACUGGUGUGAUCACAGCUCACUGCAGCCUCAACUCCUGGCCUUAAGGGAUCCUCCCACCUCAGUCUCCCAAGUAGCUGGGACUACAGGUGUGUGCCACGAUGCCCGGCUAAUGUUUUUUAUUUUUAAUUUUUUUUUAGAGACAGGAUCUCAUCAUCUUGCACACACUGGUCUCAAACUCCUGGGCUCAAGUGAUCCUCUUGCCUUGGCCUCCCAAAAUAUUGGGAUUACAGGUGUGAGCCACAGGUCCCAGCCAAAAUGGUCUCUCUUAAGAAUGGUAAGGAAAUUAGUUAUUUUUGGAGAGAUAAUAAAGAAGUCUACAUAUCUAAGGUUUACCUUUUUAUCACCACAUUUUUUCCCUCCAUUUUUAGUUCUAUGAGAUUUAACCUUUCAAAAAUUUUUAUUACAGCUUUUCUUACCAUCUUAAAAAAGUUGAACAAGAAAAGGCAUUUUCUCGUUGCCUCUGGGCCACUGAUAUGAACAUUACUGAGCGAUGACACAAUAAGGGGACUACAGGAUGUUCAGUGGUGUCUGUUCUGUAGGACGCAGGUCUGGAGGUAAGCCUGGCGUGGGUUCUUCGAGUCCCCUCUGGCGCUGUGGGUGGUUGAAUCAGUGCCCCUGCCCGCAGUGGCCACUAUACCCUUUCUUAGUUUGCUGUGUUCUUGUAAAGCAGAUGUCCUGAAAAUUGUGUGCAAAGUAUGAGUAAACAGGAUUUGCGUGGCGGGCCAGGAGCUGUCCUGGGCACAAUAUGCUGUAUUUAUUAUAUGAGUUUGGUAACAUUAGUUUUAGCUGUUCAGAAUUGAUUUUUUUAUUACUUCCAGGAUCCCAGCUACAUUCCAGAUUUUUAAGAUAGCCAAGCUCCAAACAGUUGAAGUAUCAAAUGAUAACAUUAAACACACAUGUAUUUUUAAUUAUUACAAUAGUUUUACAGGAAAACUAAAACUAUGUUAACUAUAUAAAAAAAUAAAAACUCACAAGUCUAUUACCCAUCAAAUAACUGCUAUUAAUUUUGGGUAUUUUCCUUUCAGACUUUGAUUUUAAAUAUAUGUGUUUAAUUUUUAAAGAAACCCUAUGGGCCAGGUGUGGCGGCUAACACCUGUGAUCCCAGCACUUUGGGAGGCCAAGGUGGGAGGACUGCUUGAACCCAGGAGUUUGGGACCAGCCUGGGCCACAUAGGGAGACCCUGUCUCUAUAAAAAAUUAAAAAAUUAGCUGGGUAUGGUGGUGAGCGCUUGUAGUCCCAGCAACUGUGGGCUGAGGUGGGAGGAUUGCGUGAGCCUGGGUUGCAGUGAGCUGUGAUCAUACCACUGCACUUUAGCCUGGACGACAGAGCAAGACCCUGUCUCAAAAAAAAAAAAAAAAAGGAAACAAGAAAGAAACACUAAAGCUGUGUUUCUGGUAUAUACAGAAUGCUACAUCCUGCUGUUGGAUGCUAUUAAAACCUCCUGGUAAGCAGAAUUCUAAAUGGUUGCUUCACUGAAUGGACUAUCAUAAUUUACUUAAUUAUUCCCUUACUUUUGUAGAUUUAGGAUGUUUCUGAACCUUUGCUAUUAAAAAACAAACUGCUGUGAGCAUCUCGUAUAAAAACAUAAUGCAUAGAUUUUUAAUAAAAUAAUUUUGAUUUUAUAUUUAAUGGAAGGUUUUCAGAAAGACCCUUCAUUCAUAUUUUAGUAUAAGGUAAAGAAAUAAAAGAGUAUUUUUAUCUCUACUCUUGCCUAAAGAGAGAAAGGGAGGAAUUGAAAAGGCAAAUAAUAGUUCAAAACAGAAUAUUCAGGAGGUUUCAAGAUUCUUUGAUUACAGUCUGGCUUCAUGACUAUUUCAUCUAGAUGAAGAGGUUGAAACUCAUAGAUUUACUAAUUAUAUGACCAAUUUUUAAAGGCUGUUGACAAUUUACUCAUCAUAUGCAAUUAGUACAUUAUUUAUAUUGUGAUGAAAAACUUACAGGGAGCCUCAACCCUUAGACAACCAAAAGCAAAAAUGUGUGUGUUUUGGGAGGAGUGGACAUAUUAGGAAACACAGUAGCUUUUCUUUAUUCUCUGCUCCCACCAAGGGGCCCCGUGUGUUCGGAGGCACUAGAAUUGCGGGUGCAGAGCCUGAGGUUCAAGCAACUGGACCGAGUCUACCAGUUCACUGCACACAUUCUCCUCACCAGCCAUUUCCCGUAAGUGGCUGUCUCUUCCAGCUGGGCUUAGCUCCAAACUGGAAACAUGACAUCUGUGGUUUAAUGCUGCAAUUAAAAGGAAUUUAUUAAAAAACAACAACCCAAAGAUAUCAUAAUUGCAAAUUUACUAGGCUAUGGUUUAGUGAAACACAGUGUAGCUUGUUGAAUAACUGAACCACACCAGGGACUGUUAACCUUUUGCCAUAAGUAAAAAAGUAUUUCCUGGGGUCACAAACAAUGGCACGAUGAGGGAGAAGCCAACUGGCCUGGAGUUUAGAUGUCAAGGAGGAAGUCAGUUUGGCUUCCUUGGAUCAAGUUUUCUCUGAGCUCUCUAAAUUAAGAUGAUUAAUUUGUUUCUCAUUCUGUGAGUCCUUAUUUAUUGCAAUCAACUAUCUUUUCUUAUCUCUUCAGCUCUAGAGACAGUGGCGACAAGAAGGACUGUUCAAAGACCUGGAUUCUACUCUUAGCUCUGCCACUAUGAUCCCACCUAUAUGGAGUUACAACUUAAGGUUACAUUCGUUUAUUAGUUAUAUCAGUGCUCCUCAAUCUUUUUGGCACCAGGUACCCGUUUUGUGGAAGACAAUUUUCCUAUGGAUUUGGGGGUGGGGAUAUGAAACCUCCACCUCAGAUCAUCAGGCGUUAGUUAGAUUCUCAUAAGGAGCACACAACCUAGAUCCCUCAAAUGUACAAUUCACAACAGGAUUCGUGCUCCUAUGAGAGUCUAAUACCAUGGCUGAUCUGAUGGGAGGCGGAGCUCAGGGGGUAAUGCUCGCUCACCCUCCAUCGCCUCCUGCUGUGCGGCCCGGUUCUUAACAGGCCACAGACGGGUAAAAGUCUGUGGCCCGGGGGUUGGGCACCCCUGAGUUAUAUGACUGUGGGCAUAUUUAAUGACUAUUUAUAAAAUAGAUCGACUACAGUAAGUAAUAAAUAAAAUAAUGUGCUUAAAAUCGUUGGCAGGAUGCCUGGCAUAGACACUAGCGUCAGUAGUAGUUGUAAUUGUGGUGGUUGUCAUUAUGAUUCGUUUCAGUAGGCUUCAAAUUCCAAGUAUUAUUCUCAUUUUACAGAAGGCGCAACUGAGACUCAGACAUAUUCAUGUCUUGCACAGGAACACAGGGUAAUAGGUAGAAGAAGGACUGGAAUCUAAAUCUCCUUCCCUUUACUGUUUCUCUUAUACAGCAUACUGUUUCAAGCAGGAACAAACGAAACUCCUACCACCUACCUUCCCACACCUCCACUUCUGUACAUCAGGGAGCUAGCUGCAAGAAGGAAAUAAAGAAGUACAGUGCCAGGCGUGGUGGCUUAUGUCUGUAGUCCCAGCACUUAGGGAGGCUGAGGUGGGAGGAUCACUGGAGCCCAGGAGGUUGAGCUUGCAGUGAGCUAUGAUCAUGCUACUGCAUUCCAGCUUGGAUGAAAGUAAGACUCCCCCGCCCACCAAAAAAAAAAAAAAAAAAGGCCAGGUGUGGUGGCUCAUGCCUGUAAUCCCAGCACUUUGGGAGGCCAAGGUGGGUGGAUCACCUGAGGUCAGGAGUUCGAGAUCAGCCUGGCCAACAUGGCAAAACCCCAUCUCUACUAAAAAUACAAAAAUUAGCCCGGUGUAGUGGUGGGCACCUGUAAUCCCAGCUGCACGGGAGGCUGAGGCAGGAGAGCAGGAGAAUCUCUUGAACCCAGGAGGUGGAGGUUGCGUGAACCGAGAUUGCAGUACUGCACUCCAGCCUGGGCAACAGAGUGAGACUCCGUCUCAAAAAAAAAAAA